CGCGUAGGUGGUUUGGUAAGCGAGAUGUGAAAGCCCCGGGCUUAACCUGGGAACGGCAUUUCGAACUGUCAGACUAGAGUGUGGUAGAGGGUAGUGGAAUUUCCUGUGUAGCGGUGAAAUGCGUAGAUAUAGAAAGGAACACCAGUGGCGAAGGCGGCUACCUGGACCAACACUGACACUGAGGUGCGAAAGCGUGGGGAGCAAACA
rnacentral:rRNA from 1 species